UACGUAGGGUCCGAGCGUUGUCCGGAAUUAUUGGGCGUAAAGAGCUCGUAGGCGGUUUGUCGCGUCUGCUGUGAAAUCCCGAGGCUCAACCUCGGGUCUGCAGUGGGUACGGGCAGACUGGAGUGCGGUAGGGGAGAAUGGAAUUCCUGGUGUAGCGGUGGAAUGCGCAGAUAUCAGGAGGAACACCAAUAGCGAAGGCAGCUCGCUGGGACGUUACUGACACUGAGGCGCGAAAGCGUGGGGAGCGAACAGG
rnacentral:rRNA from 1 species